rnacentral:rRNA from 1 species
AUUGAACGCUGGCGGCAGGCCUAACACAUGCAAGUCGAACGGUAACAGGAAGCAGCUUGCUGCUUCGCUGACGAGUGGCGGACGGGUGAGUAAUGUCUGGGAAACUGCCUGAUGGAGGGGGAUAACUACUGGAAACGGUAGCUAAUACCGCAUAAAGUCGCAAGACCAAAGAGGGGGACCUUAGGGCCUCUUGUCAUCGGAUUUGCCCAGAUGGGAUUCGCUAGUAGGUGGGGUAACGGCUCACCUAGGCGACGAUCCCUAGCUGGUCUGAGAGGAUGACCAGCCACACUGGAACUGAGACACGGUCCAGACUCCUACGGGAGGCAGCAGUGGGGAAUAUUGCGCAAUGGGCGAAAGCCUGAUGCAGCCAUGCCGCGUGUAUGAAGAAGGCCUUCGGGUUGUAAAGUACUUUCAGCGGGGAAGAAGGGAGUAAAGUUAAUACCUUUGCGCAUUGACGGUACCCGCAGAAAAAGCACCGGCUAACUCCGUG